CUGGGAAACUGGGUCUAAUACCGGAUAGGACCACGGGAUGCAUGUCUUGUGGUGGAAAGCGCUUUAGCGGUGUGGGAUGAGCCCGCGGCCUAUCAGCUUGUUGGUGGGGUGACGGCCUACCAAGGCGACGACGGGUAGCCGGCCUGAGAGGGUGUCCGGCCACACUGGGACUGAGAUACGGCCCAGACUCCUACGGGAGGCAGCAGUGGGGAAUAUUGCACAAUGGGCGCAAGCCUGAUGCAGCGACGCCGCGUGGGGGAUGACGGCCUUCGGGUUGUAAACCUCUUUCACCAUCGACGAAGGUCCGGGUUCUCUCGGAUUGACGGUAGGUGGAGAAGAAGCACCGGCCAACUACGUGCCAGCAGCCGCGGUAAUACGUAGGGUGCGAGCGUUGUCCGGAAUUACUGGGCGUAAAGAGCUCGUAGGUGGUUUGUCGCGUUGUUCGUGAAAUCUCACGGCUUAACUGUGAGCGUGCGGGCGAUACGGGCAGACUAGAGUACUGCAGGGGAGACUGGAAUUCCUGGUGUAGCGGUGGAAUGCGCAGAUAUCAGGAGGAACACCGGUGGCGAAGGCGGGUCUCUGGGCAGUAACUGACGCUGAGGAGCGAAAGCGUGGGGAGCGAACAGGAUUAGAUACCCUGGUAGUCCACGCCGUAAACGGUGGGUACUAGGUGUGGGUUUCCUUCCUUGGGAUCCGUGCCGUAGCUAACGCAUUAAGUACCCCGCCUGGGGAGUACGGCCGCAAGGCUAAAACUCAAAGGAAUUGACGGGGGCCCGCACAAGCGGCGGAGCAUGUGGAUUAAUUCGAUGCAACGCGAAGAACCUUACCUGGGUUUGACAUGCACAGGACGCGUCUAGAGAUGGGCGUUCCCUUGUGGCCUGUGUGCAGGUGGUGCAUGGCUGUCGUCAGCUCGUGUCGUGAGAUGUUGGGUUAAGUCCCGCAACGAGCGCAACCCUUGUCUCAUGUUGCCAGCACGUAAUGGUGGGGACUCGUGAGAGACUGCCGGGGUCAACUCGGAGGAAGGUGGGGAUGACGUCAAGUCAUCAUGCCCCUUAUGUCCAGGGCUUCACACAUGCUACAAUGGCCGGUACAAAGGGCUGCGAUGCCGCGAGGUUAAGCGAAUCCUUAAAAGCCGGUCUCAGUUCGG
rnacentral:rRNA from 1 species